AGGCAGCAGUUAGGAAUAUUGCGCAAUGGGCGGAAGCCUGACGCAGCGACGCCGCGUGGGGGAUGACGGCCUUCGGGUUGUAAACCUCUUUCGCCAUCGACGAAGGCCUUCGGGUUGACGGUAGGUGGAGAAGAAGCACCGGCCAACUACGUGCCAGCAGCCGCGGUAAUACGUAGGGUGCGAGCGUUGUCCGGAAUUAUUGGGCGUAAAGAGCUCGUAGGCGGUGUGUCACGUCGGCCGUGAAAACUUGGGGCUUAACCCUGAGCUUGCGGUCGAUACGGGCAUCACUUGAGUUCGGCAGGGGAGACUGGAAUUCCUGGUGUAGCGGUGAAAUGCGCAGAUAUCAGGAGGAACACCGGUGGCGAAGGCGGGUCUCUGGGCAACAACUGACGCUGAGGAGCGAAAGCGUGGGGAGCGAACAGGAUUAGAUACCCGAGUAGUCC
rnacentral:rRNA from 1 species